rnacentral:rRNA from 1 species
CAGCAGCAGCCGCGGUAAAACGGAGGGUGCAAGCGCUAAUCGGAAUUACUGGGCGUAAAGCGCACGCAGGCGGUUUGUUAAGUCAGAUGUGUAAUCCCCGAGCUUAACUUGGGAACUGCAUUUGAAACUGGCAAGCUAGAGUCUUGUAGAGGGGGGUAGAAUUCCAGGUGUAGCGGUGAAAUGCGUAGAGAUCUGGAGGAAUACCGGUGGCGAAGGCGGCCCCCUGACAAAGACUGACGCUCAGGUGCGAAAGCGUGGGGAGCAAACAGGAUUAGAUACCCCUGUAGUCCCUGUCUCUUAUACA